CGCUCAUCCAGAGGGGCAGAGGGACCGGCCCGACGAAGCCCCGGCAACCACGCGCGCACACCACCUCCUCACGAGGCCGACGCCGCAGGUGCCAAGUCCGGCUCGCACGUCUCGUCGUGCGGGAAAGAUGAGGA
rnacentral:ncRNA from 1 species